CGGCUAUGCGCACCAUCUUCCCCCUGCUAUGAAUACACCACCGAUGUGCAGCAUUCGAUUAGUAAUGGGUCUGAUCUAAUUUCAAGCUUCUUCGAUUUAUAAUCGCAUUCAAAAUAAAAUUCAAUUUUCCGUAUUAAACGAUUCUUUGGAAAUAAGAAAUAAUACAUUCUACAUACGAAUGUAUUUUCAAAGAAAUACUCUUAAAGGAAAGAAGUCCAAAAACUCAUCUAUAAUUAGCAGCAAACUUAUUGAUUUUUCUAUUUGAAAAAAUAACGAAGUUAUGAUAUAAUUUUGCAACAUUUCGCACAACAAACUCACAAUAUGCAUUGUUUUAUCAUUAAUUGCGAGAAGUGCGAAGAUUACAAGCGUAGGAUUCCGCGAUUUAUGAAUGAUUUGGAGGAGUGAAUGAACGGGGUCGACGCAUGCGCGCCUCUAUCCAGAUUCCAUUCCCAUUCCAAUCUUGUUUCUAUUCUCUCCUUCUAUGUUUUAU